rnacentral:lncRNA from 1 species
UGACCUUGGGAGUCAGAGGCAGGGGGGCACGAAUGGAGGGUAAUGUGGACAAGAACAUUCCAGAAGAGGGAAGAGUUUCAUGGGCUCUGGAGCCUCCACGUGGAUUCAAAUCCUGACCUUGAUGCGUACAAGCUGUGUGAUUCUGAGUCAGUGACUUUGCUUCUCUGUGCCUCAGUUUUUCCAUCUAUAAAAUGUGAAUAACAAAUGUUAGUACUUCAUUCAUUCAUUCAUUCAUUCAUUCAUUUUCUUUCUCGCUUAACAGACACUUGUUGAGUGUCUGUUCUGGGCCCAGGAUCAGAGGCUGAGAUGGAACUGACCAUCACGGUCACACACGCGAGCAAGCCCUGUAGCCGAGAUGGAACCCAGGUUUGGAGACCACAGGUUCCGUUCGUGAUUCCCUGCAGUCUCCCUCCCAGGCUGUGGUGAGACCAGAGGAGGUGCAGUUACACACGGAGGAAACACUUACUAAGCAGGAGAUGCUGCCAGUCCUCCUGAGGUGUCGUCAUCAUCAGGUAGCCUGUGCUGACCGAGCACAAGGUCUUGGAGAAUGUCCCUACCCCCUCUGAGCCUCGGUUUCCUUUAGGGCGAACAACCAUCUUGGUUUGCCUAAGAAUGAGGAUUUCCCCAGGAUGCGGUGCUUUCCCUGCUAAAACUAGGACAGUCCCAGGCAAACGGGGAUGGUCGGUCACCCUAGUUCCCUCACCUGGGACAUGGGGAACCGCCCGCCUCCCAGGGCUGUUGUGCACAACAGAAGUAAGCACAGGGGAAAGGCAGAAAACCAUGGGAGUAGAAUUCUAGAUCGAUUACAUGAAUAUUAAAGACUUCCAUGUGCCAUGGAAAUCCAGUCAUGAAAAAGAAUGAGCCAGCUCGCGUGUACCGCAAUGGAAGAAGCUCUAAGAUACAUAUUUUUAGUGAAAAGGGCAAGGUACAGAACGUUUUGUCUGGAGACCUUCCACUAGUAUCAGAGGAGGGGUGUGAAUGGACACACACAUGUUCAUGUGCGUGGAUUCUCUGGGGAGGGAGCUGGGUGGCUGGGAGAGAAGGUGAGGAAAAGAUCAGCUUUUCACUAUAUAUCCUUUUGUGUUGUUGGAAGGCUUUUAACCUUUUGUUGUCCUCAUCAGGUUGAAAAACCUCCUCAACUUCUGUGUGUCCAAAAAAAAAAAAAAACAACCCAAAAUUAAAAUAAAAAAGAACGAUUCUAAACAAUUGUUGGAAGGCCAAAGAUACACAGCAGGAAAAGCGUUUAGCUCAGGGUCCAGCACCCAGGAUGUACAUGAAUGGCCUUCUCCCCUCUCCCACCCAUGGCCUCGUUGGCUGCGGGUCUGUGUAAGCGAGGGGCACAGUGUUCAUCCGGCUCAGGUGCAAGCACAGUCUGGGAACACACAGUCUGGGAACCACAGGCCUGGGGCUCACGGGACACUCACCCGCUUCUGUGCCUACAUGUUCCGAGGUGGCCAUCUGCCAGGUUCCAGGGCUCUCCCUGCAUCUUGGGGUGGAAGUGAGCCCAUCUUGCGGGGUAAGUGCUCAGCGUUCACAUACUUCCAGACUUCCCAGACUAGGAAACCUGCAUGUGCUGCUGCUGCCACCAAAGCCAGUUCUCUCUGCCUCUGGCCUUGGGGAGAAAGAGCCACAGCUGGUGUAGGAAGGAGCUCCAGGCUCAGCCUGAGACUACCCAGCGGGCCUGACCCCCACAGAGCAGCCUCCCGUGAGAUCCCGGCCCAGCCCUGCCUCGAGAUGCCAGACACGUGGCCAGGCUCUUUUCUUUUUUAAUUUUUGCGUUAUGCACAUAUUUCAGGGAAACGUUCUCCUUGCAAUAUCUCAAGCAUUAACAAAAUGUAGCAGACAAAAACCGGAGUAAUUCCCCUGAAUUUCCUGAGCCUCAUUCCCCUCAAACAUUAUUGCCUGUUAGUGGGUAUGCCCUUGAACGUUUUGCUAUCCUGUGUAUAUGUCUGUAUCUUUCCCUCUGUAUGUACAUUUCCAUCUGCGGGUGUGACUAUACCUUCGUCUAUAUCUGCAUCAACUGUAUCUAUAACUAUGGAUGUAGAGGUGUGUGUGCUUCUCACAUAAGUGGUAACGUUCUGCAUGUUCUGUUCUGCAAGGUGCCUCAUUUUUCACUGAAUAUCAUAUGGGCAUUGUUCUGGGUCCGCACACAUACAACCGCCUGCUUUUUAACAGCUGAGCACUAUUCCACCAUGUGAGCUGGCCCGUCAUUUCUUGUCCAGUCCCCUAUUGAACAUUUAAAUGAUUUCUAUUGUUUUGCUUCCACAAACGGCCCUGGGCAGGCCUCAUUGUGCAUGGAGCAAUUUCUCUGGGAUAGGUAGCUGGCUAACCUCCCAGCACUACUGAAGACACUGGGUACCCCAUCUGUGACGAGUACUAAAAAAUCGCAGCCCGGGGAAGCCAGAGAGCAAAGCCACACUCCCACACAGGGCAUAGACUGCCUGCUUCUGUGCACAUCACUGGCACUCAGCUGCCCAGUGUAUCACAUUUUUGUAUCAGACCAUCUCUCCCCAGCAUGAUCCUUACCUCCCAAGCCUCCAAUCACUCUAUUGGGAUGGCUUUGAAACCUGGAUUACAGGGAACUUUCCAGCCAUCUUGGUUUGUCCUGCUAGUGAGUGACCUCCUGCCUGGGGUGAUUUCAGGGAAAACGGAGGAAUCUCCCAGCCUCCAAAUUUCUCCCAUAUCUAAAGGAAGAGGAAGUUUGGUGAAGUCCCUGCCCCUUUUGGGAGCUCUUUUUCCUAAGGCUUCCGCCACACGGGCAGUGUGGAACAAAGAAGGGCAGGCUUGGGAGGUGGAAAGCAUAGCAGGAACCAAAAGAGAUAGAACCGUAAUAAUGGCCUGUUCCUUACAAAGUACCUGCAGUGCCCCUGACCCCACACCAAGCCUGAGGCACUCCCUGCACUGGGUGCUGUAAUUGCCCCCACCUUGUAAGUGAGGGAGCCGUGGCUCAGAGGGAGGGGAAGCAGGAUCUGAACUCAGGCCUAUACAGCCUCAAAGCCCAGGCCCUGUAAUGGCAAGGAGCUAAAAAUGUGUGCCAGGAGGUAGUGCUGACUCCCCAGGGAGCCCAAGAUACACGAAGGCUGGAAAAGCGUGUGUGUGUGUCUUGGUGAGGAAAGGGAUCUGAGAGACGAGUGGGAUUUGGGGAGCAAGGGAAGCACCUUCCGGGGUCGGCGGAACAGCCUGAACAAAAGCCCAAGGUUGGGGUGAACCUGGCAUGUUGAUGGGAGAAGGGUCUGGUCUGGGUCUGGGUGUGAGACGCAAAGCUGGAAGCGGCGGAGGGGGGCGGGGAGGGGCCCUGCACUGCCUGCCAUGAAUGCCAGGCAGGGAGCUGGCUUGCAGCUAAUCACCACUGCCGUUAUUAUCUACAGUCAGUGACAUGAACACAGCUGCCAUCACCCCGGCCUUCCACACGUGUCAGCGCACCCUUCCAACAACUUCAGGACAUGGCCGCCACGACGUCCGUUUUGCAGACGAGGAACUGACAAUGGAGCACCAAGGGGGCCGGAUCACGGCUGCUGACCCACCCCGGUAUGCCCUGUGCCCAGCCCUGGGACUGCCCUCCAGGACGAGAGGGACAGAGGGAGGAGGAAGGCAGACGGAGGGAUGAGGGCGUGGGGCGCCCCACCGCGCACCGUCACGGCCCCUUGCACCCUCUGGGUUUCUGAAGAUGGCGGGUGCUGGCUGUGGUGUGGCCUUCCUCAGCCCUCCUGACCCGAGCCGCUUUACCCCAGUGACCUGCGACUCCCAGGGCUGCUAUUAGCCGCGAGCUUGGCCCGGAACCCUUCCUUCUGAAUUUACAUCCACAGUUCUUUGUCUCACAUUCCAAACGCACCCCACUGUUGGAUGGCUGCACCCCACAGAGCUCUGGGAAUACAUGGGACUUACCCACCCGGCUCCAGCCACUCCAUGAUCUGGGAAACAGCAGGCUCUUUGGGUCUGGUCCUGGCCAGAGCCUCAGUUUCCCCGUGUGUAAGACAGAAGUGGUCACUGUCAGACUGGAUAAUUGCUAUGGGUAUUUAUGCUUGUCUUGGGCCCCUGCUCCUCUGGCUUCUGGUCUCAGAAGACAUGUUGGCAAAGGGAGUGGAUUGUGGCCCCACCUCAGACCCUUGCUAGCCUCUGUCUCAGGAGGACAGAGCCGCCCUGGACCGGGGGUCAGCCAUGAGUUCAAGCUCUGCUCCUGACACUUUCUAGCUGCAGCCUGAGUGAGCGUGUCUGGUACCCACCACUUAUCGGGCACCUGACAUCACAAUCCCUCCCUCUUUCCCUGCCUGGGCAGGUCAGGUCGCCUCUCCGGGCCUCAGUCUCUGGACGCCUGCGAUGGCUGUUUCUCCCACCCAGCCCAGCACCAGGGCUGUUCGAAUGAAGCCAGUGUAAGAUGCUGGAUGGGGAAGAGCUUUGCGGAUGGAAAACUUGCCCCAUUGGGAAGAUUUAUUGCCGUGACUGUAAGUGUGAGGGCCAAAGGCCAUCGGGGCCGGACGGCCCCUGCCCAGAAGGCUGUGCUGGAGCCCAGGCCGCUUUCCCUCCAUCUGUGGUGAAGGAGCAGAUGACCUUCUCCCCGGGGCCCCAACGUGUGGUGACAUGCCAGGGCUGGGCUCCCUCUCGACCAACAUUUUGCCUCUUAUUUUGGAAUGCCCACCUCCCCUGCAGGGCCCUGGUCAGCACCUAGAUGACCCAAGUCUGGGGGGCGGGAUACACAGGCAGCCCAAACCCCUGGACAAACACAGAGACGCAGACCAACCCCUUGCUCCCUCUCAGCCCCCAAGUCCCGUCUGGUCUUCCUGUUCUCCUCGAACCCAUUAUUCCUGGGGGUCCUUGCCUUACCGGUGGCCCCUGCCAGCUUCCCCACCGCCCUCAUGGCCCCUCCAUUUCCUCUCUUGCCACCAGAGACCUUUGGAAAUCAAGGAUUCCG